rnacentral:lncRNA from 1 species
AUGAAGAGGCAGCUGCCCGGCCCCGAGGGGCACCCACUGCCGGCCCUCCUGGGUCAGAUCUUCACGACGGCCUUGUGGGUCGGCCCUGCAGCAGGAGCCCCUCUAGAGAAGAGGAAGCCGAGCUUCUGGGGACGAGACGUGCCGGGGAGGUCUCCGAGGCCCAAGCAAGAGCCGCCGCGUCCUUAUUUCUGCGCUCUGCAACGCGUUUUCUCGAUCAGCCUUUUGUGUGUGUCGCAGCGUUCCGCGGCCUCUUCCCGGGGCGCGUGGCAGCGUUCCGCGGCCUCUUCCCGGGCUGUGUCGCAGCGUUCCGCGGCCUCUUCCCGGGGCGCGUGGCAGCGUUCCGUGGCCUCUUCCCGGGCUGUGUCGCAGCGUUCCGCGGCCUCUUCCGGGGGCGCGUGGCAGCGUUCCGCGGCCUCUUCCGGGGGCGCGUGGCAGCGUUCCGCGGCCUCUUCCCGGGCUGUGUCGCAGCGUUCCGUGGCCUCUUCCCGGGGCGCGUGGCAGCAUUCCGCGGCCUCUUCCCGGGCUGUGUCGCAGCGUUCCGCGGCCUCUUCCCGGGGCGCGUGGCAGCAUUCCGCGGCCUCUUCCCGGGCUGUGUCACAGCGUUCCGCGGCCUCUUCCCGGGCUGUGUCGCAGCGUUCCGCGGCCUCUUCCCGGGGCGCGUGGCAGCGUUCCGCGGCCUCUUCCCGGGGCGCGUGGCAGCGUUCCGCGGCCUCUUCCCGGGGCGCGUGGCAGCGUUCCGCGGCCUCUUCCCGGGGCGCGUGGCAGCGUUCCGCGGCCUCUUCCCGGGGCGCGUGGCAGCGUUCCGCGGCCUCUUCCCGGGGCGCGUGGCAGCAUUCCGCGGCCUCUUCCCGGGGCGCGUGGCAGCGUUCCGCGGCCUCUUCCCAGAGGACCAUCUCUUACAAGUGCAGAGGAGGGAAAACGGGGCUCUCCGCAACUUCACUUCGGAGCACCCCAAAGUCUGACACCCUGAACGGUGCCUCGCCUGUUGUCGCCCGCCGGGGCCUCUGA